rnacentral:rRNA from 1 species
UGGGGAAUAUUGGACAAUGGGGGCAACCCUGAUCCAGCCAUGCCGCGUGAGUGAUGAAGGCCCUAGGGUUGUAAAGCUCUUUCAGCGAGGAGGAUAAUGACGUUACUCGCAGAAGAAGCCCCGGCUAACUUCGUGCCAGCAGCCGCGGUAAUACGAAGGGGGCUAGCGUUGUUCGGAAUCACUGGGCGUAAAGCGCACGUAGGCGGAUUGGUCAGUUAGGGGUGAAAUCCCGGGGCUCAACCUCGGAACUGCCUUUAAUACUGCCAGUCUUGAGUCCGAGAGAGGUGAGUGGAACUCCGAGUGUAGAGGUGAAAUUCGUAGAUAUUCGGAAGAACACCAGUGGCGAAGGCGGCUCACUGGCUCGGUACUGACGCUGAGGUGCGAAAGCGUGGGGAGCAAACAGGAUUAGAUACCCCCGUAGUCC